UGACAUUACAAACAUUGACUGAGAGUUUUCAAAAAACAUUUAUGAGGCUAUGGACAUCCCAUGAAGCCUUGCGAAUGAUGACAUCGAAUAAGCAGAUCUCAACCCUAAACAAGCGCGUUUGGUAGGUUCAUGCAUAAAUUUAAAGCUGCAGUCUGAAGCUGUCACAGUACCUGUGGAGAGGAUGUACUGUAGCUCAACCACAGAGCGUAUGGCCUGCGUGUCUUAUUAAAAAACCCCAAACCAAGCUUGGGUUUCAUCAG
ensembl:lncRNA